AUCCGCUCGACCUCAACCGAAGCGUUCGGUCCGGCUGUCACAUUCGCGGUGUGCCAAAUGCUCGCCUCUCGCGUGGCGACGACGGCGGCGGCGUGACGCGUUAAAUGAAAAUGGCAACGCGCCGGUACGCCACGCGGCCUCAACGGGGUACGUACGGUAGCGCACACAAAAUUCUCCUACUUUAUCCAAUCUGAAAUAACAUCAGCACACACGGGACAAUGAGCGACUAUGUGGGGACUUGCAAGCAUUCGGCCAACAUAACGCGAGGAUCACUCUAUGGUGUUGACAUAUAGAUGAGAUUGAAUCUUAGGAUGUCAUAUUGAAAAGAUUUCAAUGAAUAUCUUGAAAGAGCUCACAAUAUAUUUUCAAUUUGCAAGCAGAUGACAGCAGCAGUUUAGAAUACACAUGGAACCUUCAAGAUAAUCCAAUAAAGUAAAAUAUCUUUCGGACGAAGCAAUUUUUAUUGCAUUUAUUGUCUUAAAAAUUUGCUGCAAAACUGUAUUAAUAAAAGAAUAUUGUGAGAAAAAAACAUGUAGAGCAUAUUUUGUUUAUGCUAAUACAACCAUUCUGCUCAAGUCUUAUGUAUAUUCAAUCAUCAUAAUCAAGCUGAAUAAUUCAGUUAAUUCUUUAAAUAGUCAUCGCAUUUAACUUGUAUGAUAUACUGUAUCUUAAAAAUGAGAAAAAGUUAACUUCUUUUUAUGUAAAAAUUCGUUCUUUAUUAUUGUUUUGUCUAAUUACUUUGAAGUAAUUUCUAUGUAUAUAAACAUAUGUAUAUGUAAAAUUAUAUAAAUAGAAUAAGUCCAGCAUAUUUAUUUAACUGCUUGAUUAUAUCAUCUUUCUGCAAAACAAUGCUCCGUUCGCGUGUGAUAAUAAUUUUUACAAUUAUCCUACUUUUUAAUU